UAGAGUUUGAUCCUGGCUCAGAGUGAACGCUGGCGGCGUGCUUAACACAUGCAAGUCGAACGAGAAACGGUCUAGCUUGCUAGAUGCAGUCUAAGUGGCGGACGGGUGAGUAAUGUAUAGCUAAUGUGCCCCUUGGAGAGGGAUAACAGUUAGAAAUGACUGCUAAUACCUCAUACUCCUUAUGCCUUAAUGGUAUAAGGGAAAUGUUUUUUCGCCAAGGGAUCAGGCUAUAUGGUAUCAGCUAGUUGGUGAGGUAACGGCUCACCAAGGCAAUGACGCCUAACUGGUCUGAGAGGAUGAUCAGUCACACUGGAACUGAGACACGGUCCAGACUCCUACGGGAGGCAGCAGUGGGGAAUAUUGCACAAUGGGCGAAAGCCUGAUGCAGCAACGCCGCGUGAGCGAUGAAGGCCUUUGGGUCGUAAAGCUCUGUCCUUGGGGAAGAAACAAAUGACGGUACCCUUGGAGGAAGCCCCGGCUAACUACGUGCCAGCAGCCGCGGUAA
rnacentral:rRNA from 1 species